GUCUUGUUGAUAUUAAUUUCAAGUCAAAUCUGCCCAAUGAGCAUUAAAUGGCCGCGGUAUAUUAACCGUGCAAAGGUAGCAUAAUAAUUAGUUUUUUAAAUGGGAACUAGAAUGAAGGAUUAGACAAGAUUUCAGCUGUCUCUAACCUAAAAAUAUAAAUUUAUUUUUAAGUAAAAAAGCUUAAAUUAAUUUAAAAGACGAGAAGACCCUAUAGAUUUUUAUAUUUUUUGUAAAUUUUUUAAAUUAGAAUCGAUUAUAAAUUUAUACAAAAUAUUUAAUUGGGGUGAUUAGAAAAUUUAAAUAACUUUUCUUAUUUUCUACAUAAAUUAAUGAAUAAAUGAUCCAAAAAAUUUUGAUUAAAAGAUUAAAUUACCUUAGGGAUAACAGCGUUAUUUUUUCUGAAAGUACUUAUUGAUGAAAAAGAUUG
rnacentral:rRNA from 1 species